AAGUUUAUCUCAAAACUUCACCUUCUAUGAAUGCCCCCAGGUGGUGCAUAUCUAAAAGCUCUUUGUGCAUUCUUAAGAUUUUUGUAUAUGCAUUUGCGUGAAUUGAGCCCGGAUCUGAUCUGGUUUGGCUAUGUUCAUGGUUUUCUUUGGUCAUGUAUGAGUGGAAAAGGGAGGCAGGGGAGUUCCAGUUUGUGAGGACAGUGGUGACAUGGUUGACUGAAUGGCAAUAGGAAGAAGGCACAUCUCAUAUAAUUGUUUUAUUCAAGACAAGUCUACACUCUCUUAUGUCAAAUUUGCACAGAUUUCCCUGCCCUAGGCUAUUUCUAAGGGGGAGAGAAGAGUGUUAUUUUUUUGGGGAUUACAAAGAAUGGUAGCGCAUGAGGAGUAUUAGCCACGGAGGAGGGAGGAGACUGACAUGAGGAAAACAUAUUCUGGAUCGAUUUGGUUCUCAUGGUGGCAUCUUCCCUGCUUUCUCCUUUCUUUUUAUUUCCAACACUCUUUGGUACAGAGCGGUUAACAAACAACUGAACUGAAUAUUGCUUUUUCUCCUUUUCAGAUAAGUUAGUUUACAUUAGUUUUCUGUUUGCUUUCCGUAUGGAUCUAUACAUGUUAUUUUUAUAUCCAGUUUUCUGGGUGCUUUUCAAAAAGGGGGAGACCCAUGGCCGAUAUAGUUGCAUUAAGGUGCAAUUUGAUAACUAAAUACAUAAUAUAAGUCCAUCAAAAUAUUACAUGCAUGUGUGCUGUUUGUGCUUGUAUACCUUCAAUCUGCUUUGUGGAAGGCUGUUCGUAUUAAACUUUAGUGCUCGGUUGUUCAUCAUAGUCCCAUUCCCUUGAUAAUUAAUAUUGAAGCAAUGAAAAAUAGGUGAAAUUGCAAGAAACUUGAAGAAGUGGAGGAACAUGACUCAGUCUGUCAUUGGGGACAUGCACUGUUACAGAUACACUCUGUAUCUCUACCUAUCGUUGGUGUGAUGUUUGAACAUUAAGUUGUCAUUUAAUUAUGGCAUUCCCUUCUGCUUUUGUUUAUGCUAUAACAAUAGCCGCAAACUAUCUUCGGGGCGUAUGGCAGGUUUGCUGACAAUCUGAUUGCAUUGCAGGUUUGGUACUAAUUUCUCAAAAAAUCAUGCUUUUGCAGCACCGUCCUGUUGAGCCAUGAGAUCUGAACCAAGGAAUCCAGAUAACAUCGACUAUGUUUAUAGAUCACUACAUGUUCCGUUGGAACAUUGUGAGGUCCUUUUUCCAGUUUGCUACUAAAUUCUCAAAAAAGAAACGUUCUUAUGCAUCACCAUCAUGUGGAACCACGAUACCUGAACCAAUGAACUCAGUGAACAUUUAUUAUAUUUAUUAUGGAUCAUUACAUGUUCUGCUGGAACAAGGAGGUGAAGAUGCUCACGCCUAAAGCCAAACUUGACGCCGUCGACGCCACCAUCCGGGAGCUCAUUUAUAUUGGCUUCGAAUGGCUACCGUUGUAUUUUCUGUACUUUUGGUUGUGGUUGUAAUUGUUACCCUAUGCCUUUGCAAGAAUAACUGAAAAUGGUGAUUUCUAUUGACUGGAAACCGAGUACUUGUCUAAUUAUUGUUCAAGAAAAUAUAGUGAGUCGUGUUCUUGGUUGCUAAUAGUAUAGUACACCUAUGCGGAUCCUUCUGUCGGACCGUUGAAUGGAAAUAACUCAAAAGAAGAUAAUAGAGAUGUUGUCUCUAUGCAAUCGGUAACUGUCAGUUCAGUUGCAAAGAACGACCAUCACAAAUAACUUUGAGAUGUCCAUUGGUAAAGGUCAGAUUGGAGUAGUCUAUUUUGGCUACUUGGAAGAUGGAACCCCAGUUGCAGUCAAAACAUGCUUAGAAUCAUCAUCUCAUGGGGUUAAUGAGUUCUUGGCAGAGGCUCUACAUCUAAUAAGAGUUCAUCACAGGAACUUGGUCAAUCUGGUUAGCCACUACAAGGAUGGACACCACUCAACUCUUGUCUACGAGUAUAAAUUGCUAAUUUGCAUUGCUCUUUCGUGCAACAAGUGCGUUGAUACUUACAAACAACAAGGCAUGUGACUAUUUACUAUCACUGUUGUUUGGUAUUCGAACAUGUCUUUUCGAGGGGGAGAUGGGAACAGAUAGACUCAGUGAAAGUUGGCUGCACGUAAACUAUUGUGAUCAAGUUGGAAAAAAUGUUUCCCCUCUUAACUGCUCCUGUUGGAGACUGGGGUCAGUAGUCACUGAAAUUUGCACACGCAUGGAGGAAUGAAUGAUGAUUCUCAAGUAAUGAAGUUGUAGCCUUCACGACAAGAUAAAUGGAUAAUUUUGCAGCUCAAGUGUUGCUACAUGUUACAGAUAACUAUGGCAUUCCAUUUUAAUGAAUCUGCAUAUUGCUGUUGUGAGUAAUAUUUCACCCUAAGAAUAAUAUUGUUGUAUCUCCAGUUUCUAUGUUGCAGCAAUGGGUAGUUGUGCUUUAGUCCCCCUUCAGCUUUUUUUUAACAUGUGGUUCCUUCAGCUUUUUGUUGUCAAGUCUUUCUGACUAUUAUAGCUGCACAAUUUUUAGCAACGGGUAGUCGUGUUCUCUAUCAUCAU